rnacentral:rRNA from 1 species
CGGGUCUUGUACACACCGCCCGUCACACCAUGGGAGUGGGUUUUACCAGAAGUGGCUAGUCUAACCGCAAGGAGGACGGUCACCACGGUAUGAUUCAUGACUGGGGUGAAGUCGUAACAAGGUAACCGUAGGGGAACCUGCGGUUGGAUCACCUCCUUUCCAG